CCGGAUGUCUCAGCCAGUAAAGAAUCUGCCUGCAACGCAGGAGACCUGGGUUCAAUUCCUGGGUCUGGA
rnacentral:tRNA from 1 species